rnacentral:rRNA from 1 species
UACCCCCCCCGGCAGACUACGAAUUAGACGCUGGCGGAAUGCUUACCCCAUGCAAGUCGAACGGCAGCACGGGGUGCACCCUGGUGGCGAGUGGCGAACGGGGAUACAUCGGAACGGCCCAGUCGUGGGGGAUACGUAGCGAAGCUACGCUAUCCGCAUACGAUCUAUGGAUGAAAGCGGGGGACCGCAAGGCCUCGCGCGAUUGGAGCGGCCGAUGGCAGAUUAGGUAGUUGGUGAGGUAAAGGCUCACCAAGCCUGCGAUCUGUAGCUGGUCUGAGAGGACGACCAGCCACACUGGGACUGCGACACGGCCCAGACUCCUACGGGAGGCAGCAGUGGGGAAUAUUGGACAAUGGGCGCAAGCCUGAUCCAGCCAUUCCGCGUGCAGGAUGAAGGCCUUCGGGUUGUAAACUGCUUUUGUACGGAACGAAAAGGCUCCUUCUAAUACAGGGGGCUCAUGACGGUACCGUAAGAAUAAGCACCGGCUAACUACGUGCCAGCAGCCGCGGUAAUACGUAAGGUGCGAGCGUUAAUCGGAAUUACUGGGCGUAAAGCGUGCGCAGGCAGUGAUGUAAGACAGAUGUGAAAACCCCGGGCUCAACCGGGAACUGCAUAAGUGACUGCAUCGCUGGAGUGCGGCAA